AUUUAAUGGUAGAGUUCAUAAAAUUCGAUUACACCGAAUACAACAGUAUAAGAGUACAGCCGGUUUUGUAGCCGGUGUCCAUAUAAAUUGCAAUAAGAUGAAUUUUUAAAAACAAUAACAAUUUUAAAAUCCCUCGCAAUGCUACAAAUCUAAAAAUGCAUAAUAUGUCUUACGCCGAACUUCCCUCCGAAUCGUUUUCCAUUAGGAAUAAGUUUAUCGUUACGUACAAACAAAACUGAAAAAAACAUUAUGAUAUUUCACCUUUUUAUGAAAAGAAAUAUGUGUGGGGAGGUACUUUAAUGAGGUCAUUUGUCGAUUUUCUCAGGAGUUUUUUCAUCAAACAUGAAAAACCGAAAAAUAAACGGAGGAUAAACGGGAUAAUGUAAGAAAUAUAUUAGUAUAAUAUUACGAUUUUUUUUCUACAAGAAAUUUCGCUCCGACUUUUAAGUUUGGCAAAUUUUUUUGAAAGGAAAUUUUGUCUAGUUGGAACAUUAGGCAGGCCAUUUUUUCAUUUUCCAAGCGGUUUUCAUAAUAAUUGGUUAGGUUAACAUUGUAAAAAAAAAAAAAAGCACACACUGUAAAACUAAUAGAUCCCUAUGCUCCGAAUUUAAAAAACAGUAUUUGUUUAUCUUUAUUACUAUCAUAGAUAUUACAAUGGGUAUAUCUUUGUGACACUCUGUAUAACAAUAUUGUUUCAUUUUAGUACAGCAAAAUUUUCUAUAAUUUAAAUUUAAUACUACGACGAACGAUUAUAAAAAGCGCUUUGUAUGAAAUGCCGGGACAACGUCCCCUCCUCCUGAAGAUCAGAGGCCCAAAAGUACUGACCCCCCCACAACAGACAAG